ensembl:lncRNA
CUUUGAACUUUAAAAUCUGUGGCUUUGGGAUUCUUUGUCGGGUCUGUGCCUGGCAAGCUGCAACAAGGAUCAGAACAGAGAUUUGGAGGUGUAAGCAGCAUGCUCACUCCCCUGCACAGCCACAGCAGGAGUCCUCACUGAGAUCAGAUCUCAUUCUCACAAGCUUAGGCUUCCUCAGCAGUGGAAAGGAGCCAAACAGCUGAUCCAAAGCCCACAGAAUAUUUUAGGAAAUGCAGACCACCAACCUGUUCUUUCAGAGCUGCUUGUUCUAGGCAAUCAUUACUCACUGGGGAUGCCUACUGUGUUUUCUGAAAAACACAUAUGACAGUAAUGAAUGUUUCAAAAUGAUGUUAAUUUCUACAGAGAGGAAAAGAUAAUGUGCCACUGGACAAGCAUCAGCUAAGGAGAAAUGAGGGUCCAACGAUGAAGGAUUUCUAUGACUUCUUGGAACAAACAGCUAAAGUUUCUCCAUAUCUGUCAACAAUUUAGUCGUUGAUAAUGGACUCGUUUCAUUGCACAGUGAAAAGCAAGCCCUGUAAACUGUUCCAAAACUGAAUCUCAGUCUGUGGUAUAUACAUUUACAUGGGCCUUGGUUUUGUAAUGUUCUUCAGUUAUACAAUGAGCACUGACUGAUAUAAGAAUUGCUUCAAAACAACGUUUUCCUUGUGCAAGCGGCAACUCCUCUGGCUAUAAAUAAACACUCAAACAAGGCAGCUUUAAAUAGCUUAAAAAUAACACUCUUCCAUUUCUUCCAAGCAGUAAAGUUAUGUAAAAGCAUUGCAACUGAAGAAAGGUAGGAGCCUGUAAUAGGAGCCUGAAGGGUAGGCAGAUGCUAUGGUGAUGUAAGGGCUGUGUAAGACUAUAAAUCAAACUUUAUACAGACUGUUUUAAAGCUGGGGGAGACACGUUCCCUAACCUUGGGGGAUUUGAAUCCUAUUGAAAAUGACAAGAUGCUGAACCAGUGGGAGGGAUACGAUUUGGUAAAUCUUUUCAUUACCUUUUCCAGCCACCCUGGAAAAUUAGUGAAGAGAUUUGUAUUGUAAAAAUUAUUCCUCAGUUAGUGAUUAGUCAUAGGUGUGUGACUUAAUGUGUUAAAAUUAAUAAAAUGUAUUCUUUAGUAUAAGGGGAAGAUGUAUCUUAGGUAACCACAGAAAGAAAAUAUGUAGUCUCCAUAAACUCUACUGGACUAGAAAUACCAGAAAUAUAGCAAAUAGCAUCUUCCUUUUCUGCUUCUAAAUCUGAUCUAUACUAUAGUCUUCAUGUUGACUGCUGCACCUGCUCUGAGAACAUAUCAGCUCUUUUUAAAAAUAAAAUAAUGCAUU